rnacentral:rRNA from 1 species
AUUGAACGCUGGCGGCAUGCUUUACACAUGCAAGUCGAACGGUAACAGGUUAAGCUGACGAGUGGCGAACGGGUGAGUAAUGCAUCGGAACGUGCCCGAUCGUGGGGGAUAACGCAGCGAAAGCUGCGCUAAUACCGCAUACGAUCUGAGGAUGAAAGCGGGGGACCGUAAGGCCUCGCGCGAUCGGAGCGGCCGAUGUCAGAUUAGGUAGUUGGUGGGGUAAAGGCCCACCAAGCCGACGAUCUGUAGCUGGUCUGAGAGGACGACCAGCCACACUGGGCAUGGAACACGGCCCAGACUCCUACGGGAGGGAGAAGUGGGGAAUUUUGGACAAUGGGCGAAAGCCUGAUCCAGCAAUGCCGCGUGCAGGAAGAAGGCCUUCGGGUUGUAAACUGCUUUUGUACGGAGCGAAAAGGUCCUUUCUAAUACAAGGGGCUCAUGACGGUACCGUAAGAAUAAGCACCGGCUAACUACGUGCCAGCCGCCGCCGUAA